rnacentral:rRNA from 4 species
AUAUUCCUGUACUUGGUGUUACUGCGAAGGGGGGACGGAGAAGGCUAUGUCGGCCGGGCGACGGUUGUCCCGGUUUAAGCGUGUAGGUGUGUGCUCCAGGCAAAUCCGGUGCACUUUAACACUGAGGCGUGAUGACGAGGCACUACGGUGCUGAAGUGACAAAUGCCCUGCUUCCAGGAAAAGCCUCUAAGCAUCAGGUAACA